rnacentral:rRNA from 1 species
UACGUAGGGGGCAAGCGUUGUCCGGAAUCAUUGGGCGUAAAGAGCGUGUAGGCGGCCAGAAAAGUCCGCUGUGAAAACUCGAGGCUCAACUUCGAGCUGUCGGUGGAAACUUUCUGGCUAGAGUCCGGAAGAGGAGAAUGGAAUUCCUGGUGUAGCGGUGAAAUGCGCAGAUAUCAGGAGGAACACCUAUUGCGAAGGCAGCUCGCUGGGACGUAACUGACGCUGAGACGCGAAAGCGUGGGGAGCAAACAGG